rnacentral:rRNA from 1 species
CCUACGGGUGGCUGCAGUGGGGGAUAUUGCACAAUGGGGGGAACCCUGAUGCAGCGACGCCGCGUGGGUGAAGGAGUGCUUCGGCAUGUAAAGCCCUAUCGGCAGGGAAGAAGCAAGACGGUACCUGACUAAGAAGCCCCGGCUAACUACGUGCGAGCAGCCGCGGUAAUACGUAGGGGGCGAGCGUUAUCCGGAUUCACUGGGUGUAACGGGAGCGUAGACGGCCAAGCAAGCCAGGGGUGAAAGCCCGGGGCCCAACCCCGGGACUGCCGUGGGAACUGCAUGGCUGGAGUGCGGGAGGGGCAUGCGGAAUGCGUGGGGUAGCGGUGAAAUGCGUAGAUAUCAGGAGGAACACCGGUGGCGAAGGCAGCCUGCGGGAGCGCGACUGACGUUGAAGCUCGAAGGCGUGGGGAGCGAACAGGAUUAGAUACCCCGGUAGUC